CUAUCUAACAACUUGCAAGGCAAGUAUCACGGUCACGUUCAUAUUACCCACCUUGAUGCUGCAGACUCUCCCACUGUGGUUCCAGCAACAGCUUUUCCAGAACCUUCCAGCCAGUGGAGGGAUGGAGGGAGUAUGAGACCCCAGCUCCUCGCAGGUUAAACCCAAAGCCCACACUCUGGAACACCCACAACUCCGGAACACCCAGAACACUACACAGCUGCACAGCUCCAGGACACAGAAUACAUCUCACACAGCGCAAGGAAACUUCUGGAGGCCAUCCCUAACAACAGCAGCAGCUUGGCAGCCAGAGGUGUGCAGCAGCAGUUUUCUUAGGGUUGCCAUAGCAACACCCACCGAUGGCAAACAGUGCAGUCCAGGACCUGAGCCCUAGGACCAUGCCCCAGGACUACCUGACAUGAUGACUCCUUGCUGUCCCCAGUCCACCUGGCCGUGCUGCUGCUCCAGUUUCAACUGUUCUGCCUUAUUAUUAUUCGACCAUGCUGGUCAUUUAUGAACAUUUGAACAUCUUGGCCAUGUUCUGUUAUAAUCUCUACCCGGCACAGCCAGAAGAGGACUGGCCACCACACAUAGCCUGGUUCCUCUCUAGGUUUCUUCCUAGGUUUUGGCCUUUCUAGGGAGUUUUUCCUAACCACCGUGCUUCUACACCUGCAUUGCUUGCUGUUUGGUGUUUUAGGCUGGGUUUCUGUACAGCACUUUGAGAUAUCAGCUGAUGUACGAAGGGCUAUAUAAAUAAAUUUGAUUUGAUUUUGAACUUGAAAAUAAUUAAUUUGAUAAAUUUUCAGGCGUCCGCAUUGAAAAGUGGUGCUGAAUGGUCUCUAACACCAGCAGAUGAUAUUGUUCUUACAGAGCGUUUCUGCAGGUGAUAGAUUGAUAGUAGUUUGGUGUGUGUGCAGGCCCGUAUAAUGUUACAGUAACGGGUGAAUGGGAAGAUCAUUGUGUAUUAGAGACUGAGAGCAGUGCCUCUCUUUAGGAGAUAUCUCGUUUUGCCAAGUAUCCCCGUAUUCUUGUCAAUCUUAAAGAUUAUUGUCUUUGUGUGGUUUCCAUGACAAUUCAUCAUCAAUCAGAACACCAAGAAAGUGUGUUGUACAGCCCUGAUCAAUAGGUAUAUUAUCAAUAUGGACCACUAUAUAAUCUGUAUUUUAUUUCCUUUGGACCAAAUAAUAAAAAAAUAUUUAUUUUUUUA